CACGACUCUCUCUCCAAAGUUAGAGCGCCUGGCUGGCAGACGGAGAUGGAUUCCAAGUGGGUCGUAUGUGAAGCAGCAGCACCUGAAGACUUGUCCUCUUCAAUCAACCUCUGACGUGCGUCCCUCCAAGACUUCUCACUUGCUGCUCCUGUCCUCUGGAACUCUCUACCCCGCUCCAUAAGACCAACUUUGUAUAGCUUCAGACACUCCUUGAAAACAUACACAUACAUACAUAUUCAUGUCUAGAGAUGUAUAUGUAUGUAUUUAUAUGUCUACAUAUGUAUUUAUAUGUGUAUAUAUGUAUUUACAGGCAUAUAUACACAUGUAUACAUAUAUAGAUAUGUAUAUAAGUGCAUUGGAGCCAUUUGCAGUUAAGUAGAUGAAAACAUGUAAAACAUAUUUAUGCAAUAUUCAUUUUUAAUAAAUAAAUGUAUUUACUGUAAAA